CUUGCGCAUUGGGCGCAGCCUGAUGCAGCCACGCCGCGUGAGUGAUGAAGGCCUUCGGGUUGUAAACCCCUUUUGGCGGGGACGAAAGGGCGGGGGCUAAUACCCUUUGGUCUUGACCGUUCCGUUACAGCAAGCCCCGGUUUCAUUCGUGCCCGCCGCCGCGGUAAUCAA
rnacentral:rRNA from 1 species